AGUGAACGCUGGCGGUAGGCCUAACACAUGCAAGUCGAACGGCAGCACAGUAAGAGCUUGCUCUUACGGGUGGCGAGUGGCGGACGGGUGAGGAAUACAUCGGAAUCUACUUUUUCGUGGGGGAUAACGUAGGGAAACUUACGCUAAUACCGCAUACGACCUACGGGUGAAAGCAGGGGAUCUUCGGACCUUGCGCGAUUGAAUGAGCCGAUGUCGGAUUAGCUAGUUGGCGGGGUAAAGGCCCACCAAGGCGACGAUCCGUAGCUGGUCUGAGAGGAUGAUCAGCCACACUGGAACUGAGACACGGUCUAGACUCCUACGGGAGGCAGCAGUGGGGAAUAUUGGACAAGGGGCGCAAGCCUGAUCCAGCCAUACCGCGUGGGUGAAGAAGGCCUUCGGGUUGUAAAGCCCUUUUGUUGGGAAAGAAAAGCAGCAGGUUAAUACCCCGCUGUUCUGACGGUACCCAAAGAAUAAGCACCGGCUAACUUCGU
rnacentral:rRNA from 1 species